rnacentral:rRNA from 1 species
UACAGAGGUCCCAAGCGUUGUUCGGAAUUACUGGGCGUAAAGCGCGUGUAGGCGGCUGCGUGUGUCGGGCGUGAAAUCCCAUGGCUCAACCAUGGAAGUGCACCCGAAACUGCGUAGCUAGAGUCCUGGAGAGGAAGGUGGAAUGCUUGGUGUAGAGGUGAAAUUCGUAGAUAUCAAGCGGAACACCGGUGGCGAAGGCGGCCUUCUGGACAGUGACUGACGCUGAGACGCGAAAGCGUGGGGAGCAAACAGG